GAUCAUUGCUCAGGAUGAACGCUAGCUACAGGCUUAACACAUGCAAGUCGAGGGGCAGCAUGAACUUAGCUUGCUAAGUUUGAUGGCGACCGGCGCACGGGUGAGUAACACGUAUCCAACCUGCCGAUGACUCGGGGAUAGCCUUUCGAAAGAAAGAUUAAUACCCGAUGGCAUAGUUCUUCCGCAUGGUAGAACUAUUAAGGAAUUUCGGUCAUCGAUGGGGAUGCGUUCCAUUAGG
rnacentral:rRNA from 1 species